rnacentral:rRNA from 1 species
CGCACCUUGCGCUCCUUGGUAUUCCUCGGAGCAUGCCUGUUUGAGUAUCAUGAAAUUCUCAAGAUAAAUCUUUUGUUCAUUCAAUUGGUUUCAUUUUGGACUUGGAGGUCUGCAGAUUCACGUCUUGCUCCUCUUAAAUUCAUUAGCUGGAUCUCUAUAAACUUGGUUCCACUCGGUCGUGAUAAGUAUCACUCGCUGAGGACACUGUAAAAGGUGGCCAGGAUCGUGGAAGAACUGCUUCUAAUAGUCCAUUCGCUUGGACAAUAUACUUAUGAUCUGAUCUCAAAUCAGGUAGGACUACCCGCUGAACUUAA